GUAGGUGGCAAGCGUUGUCCGGAAUUAUUGGGCGUAAAGCGCGCGCAGGUGGUUCUUUAAGUCUGAUGUGAAAGCCCCCGGCUCAACCGGGGAGGGUCAUUGGAAACUGGGGAACUUGAGUGCAGGAGAGGAAAGUGGAAUUCCACGUGUAGCGGUGAAAUGCGCAGAUAUGUGGAGGAACACCAGUGGCGAAGGCGACUUUCUGGCCUGUAACUGACACUGAGGCGCGAAAGCGUGGGGAGCAAACAGGGAUUAGAUACCCUGGUAGUCCACGCCGUAAACGAUGAGUGCUAAGUGUUGGGGGGGUUUCCGCCCCCUCAGUGCUGCAGCUAACGCAUUAAGCACUCCGCCUGGGAGUACGGUCGCAAGACUG
rnacentral:rRNA from 1 species